ACGGCCCGCAAGGGGAAGGCGCCGCGCGAUGAGGAGGCCGCGUUUGUGUAACGAGACAAAACACCGCCCUGAUUUCUGCCUUCUCCGCUUGAGUGCUGUGUGUGCAGCUCCCAGCCGCAGGGCCGAGCCUGAGCACAUGAACCUGAGUGCGCGCUACAGGAAAACAGAGUGCCUUCAGCUCCAGGCGGGCCUGCUCCUAAGCAGGUUCUGAGCCUUUUAUUCUCGUUGCAGACGCAGAGCUUUGACUGCUGUCUGCUCCUCGUAUGCUGGUGUUCAAGACCUUGGAAAUCUUUCUUUAAACGGUAUUAAAAUAACAGUUUUGGCUGUGAGGGGCUCCUGUUCUGGGCAGCGCUGUUGUCUCGGGAGCUUUGCUGAUGAAGCACAACAACUCCAGGCCCUUUGAGGUGUAAGAUUUCUCAGUAAUGUUACGUGCACGUUUUUCUGUACAGCAUAAGCAAGACUUGAGUUACCAGGUGUUGUAAUUCAGACGUGCUUUUAUUGUGUUACAAAAAAAAAAAAAAAAAAAAGAAAAAAAAAAAGAAACCACAGCUAUAAAAAUAACACAUUUUCCAAAGAUAACGUUCCAAAAAGUACUACUGGUAACAUGGUUGGACUGUGUCAGUUAAUACUGUUGAAAACAUGUUUCAAAACCUUUAGAGCACCUCUGGAUGUAUCUGCUCACCAGAAGGAGGUGGAGCUGGGAAUGCGUUUGCUGGCAGCGUGGCUUUCUGCUGAGCUGCUUGUCAGCCUGAACCAACAGAUAAAUCAGGCCUGGAAAAAAUGGCCAUAAGCAGCAAACCAAGGUGGAAGGACCUCACGUGAGGCCACCUCCUCUCCAAGAUGGGAUCAAACUCAUCCCCACCUCACUGUUAUCCGCAUCCAAUCCUCACCUGUGGUGCAGGGAGGAAUCGCACAGAGCUCUGACUCCGUGGGAGCCUUCACACGUUUCCCCCUCUGCAUUCGUGUGACAUAAUUCACAGGAGGGAAAAAACAUCUGGAUUUUGAAUAGCACAAUGAGUAUACUGUAUGUACAUCGCAUUGCUGAUAAACACAAACAUUUAAGUACGUGAACACAUCUGGAACUGACGAAGAGAUCAGCUUCUGCUCUACAAGGAACUGAAAGGGACACAUCUUCUGGCAGUCUAUCGGGAAAGCAGAGUUGCUUUGUGUCAGUCAAUGGCAGAUACUCCUACAGGAAUGGAGCAGAGAAGGGCUAAAUCGUUUUUUGGUUUUCACCACCACUGAGAACACAGAACAGAGGUAAGAAGGUAGGUCUCACUAACAGAAAAUGUGCUAUCUGUAUGCUGCAUCUGUUUGAUGCCAGGCUCGUCCAGCACAAUACGAAACAGAAGGAUGAACCAGCAGGUGACUCCUCUGCCGCGUGCAGUCAGCAUCUGCGCUGCAUUCCAGGAGCUCUCACCGCCCCGUCCUUCCAUCGACCCUCUGAUAAACCGCUGGGAUUUCCUCUCUGGGAAGUUCCUGGCAGACGGAUGGGGGCCGUAUUUCCUCACGCAGCCGACAGUCCAGCAAAAUGAUGCUUCUCCAGCUGCUCAAGGCUGAAAUAUUCUCCCAUGUUUCACGCAGGGUUUGGUUUCCCCAGCCCGUCCCUUGGACUCCCUUUGUGUCCGGUUUCCUACCGUCGUGCCCUGGAGAACCUCAGUUGAUCUCUCCCUCCGUGAACUCUUCUUUGAUGGACUGUUUGCGGGACUUGCAGUCUGGGAGGUCAAAGCCAAAGUCUGCCCACUCGUCCGCCGCGCCGCGGUUGGGGAUGGUGAUGGUGUGGCGCACGCGGAAGUGCACGGCCUCCAUCACGCGCUGCCGCUGCAGCUCCCCCGAGCUGCCAAUGGAGAUGGUGGAGGCGUUGCUGCUGGAGCGGAUGAGCUGCUGGGCCCCGUAGUCGUGGCUCUGCUUGAGUUCUUGAAGGCCCCUCCAGAUGAUCAUCCGGUACUGCUCUGGGAUCUUCAGUGCUCCGAGAUCCUGGAAGAACAGCGCUGCUGAGGGGCACCCCGUGAGGGGAACACCGGGACGGAGCCUGGCCCCCAGCUCAUGGCUCAGAGGGACGCGGGCGCAGGAGCGAGUGGCACGUCCUGGCCUCGGUCCACACAACACACAACAACCCACGGGUGCUUCCACGAGGGGCAGCUGCUCAGUUACAGACCGGCUACUCGUGGUCGCACUUGACCAGUCAUUCAAACACCAUUUUGAAAGUCAGCCAAAAACGCAUCUUGUUAUGUGGGGACUGGGGGACAGGGACGUAAGCUCACUGUAUCACAUCAAACUGCUGAGAAUGGGAGAGCUCCCGCUGGACGAGGGUUGAGGAGCAGCUGUGCUCACAGGGCGAGGAGCUCAGCCCGGCUGCUUUGCACAGGGCAGGAGCAGCGGGGGGCUCCAGGCAGCCCCCAGGGGUGGGCUGGGGUAAUGGGCCGCAUUCCCUGAGCCCCGCUGGCUGGGGCUUUCGGGGCCCUCCCUGUUGGGGGUGGGCCGUGUGGGCAGUAGCAGCUUUGUGGUUGUAGUGCUAACUGAGAGCUGGAUCAUCUCAGCAAUGGGGGCUGCGCCAGAACAAAUACCCUCGUGGUGGAGAGCUGCCAGACAGCCAUGUUAAUGCCAAACACAGAGACCGUAUGAAUGUUAACCAGAGAAGAUAGCGAGUGUGCAAUUAGUAAUUACAAAUACCAACUCGGACAGACAGCUCAGCAACCUGAUACAAAGUUCUGGCCAUACCAAACAUUUCUUUUGACAGCUUGCAGGUAAUAAUGCAGUUAGUUCAGAAAAUGGUCCAAAAUCAGGCUAAGGUUGUGCAACUGGCCCCAGCUACCAAUGAAAAAUCAUUGUGUCUUCAGCAGCUGCAUUGCCUAUCUUACUGUAGCUGCCAGGUAGGAGAUUACUACAAACUACCUGGGGGGAAAACAACAGAAUCAGGGCAGCAGCUUUUUUUCUGUCCAGAAUACUGACUCUAGAACUUACAAGGCUAACUAUGGCUCCAAGGGCUUAAGCUUUUUCUACUCCCUAUCCUGAUGGAUGAGGGGAGUCCCUGCUUGGUGCUGCCCUCAGUUUUGCAGCCUCAGUUUUGUCAGCAAGAGGUUAUGCUUUAACUGAGAACUGCAGUUGGCAGCUCCUCUUCCCCUGGCAGCAGAGAGCUGACACAGAGCAUGAGGGCAGGAAUUCUGAACCUACUGUACGCCUGUUUUCAUUCCAGCUCUUCCCUAACUGGUGCUGUUUCAUUUGCUGAGCACCUUGUCUGGUUUCCUUUUUGUGUUAAACACCUACUUGAGUUCUGGUUUGGGGACAUCCGAAAAGAGCUCAACAAUGUGCCAAGUUAUUAAUUUGUUUCUCUCUGUUAGUUCAUCAGAUCUCAUUAGAUCUCAUUUCUGACAGUCUGGAGGAACCAAUGAAGAGGCUAUUGUGGUUGCUACCAGAAACUGAACCACUGUUAAAUGUGAAGGGCUAGAAACGAUGCAUAAAUGGAAGACAUAAAUCAUGGGGAGUAUAUAUUCUGUAACAGACUUUCAGAGGUUUCUGCUGAAUUACCUACACUGUUAACUGGAGGGAGCCUGAGCUACCUGAGGAGGAAAAGGGCCCAUGCCUUAGUUUGGACAGCAAAGUCAGUCCCUGCAACUUACAGACUAAUUGCAAGGCUAUUCUGUGAAUAGCUCUGGGCUGCUGCUAUGCAGCUCUGGUAACUGAAUGUACAGGUGCUCUGACCUUGGUGGGAUGUCUGUUGAAACGUCUAUGUUCUACUUAAAGACAAGCAGUACAAAGCAUCUGUGGACACGCUGGCAUAUUCCUCGUGGAAAUGAACCAUGUGGACCAACUUCCAGACAUCAUUACUAAGGAAGGGAAGGGUGGAAGUUCACAAAGCUGUGUGCAGUUUGGCAUGCAGGAGAAGAUUCUUGUUUGGGAGGACUUAAUUUUGUAAUUAAGCAAGGACAGAUUACCAGGAGGUCUAUGAGAGCAAGAGGUGUUUCUAACUGGUAGGUAGCUGGGCUUUGAUUUUUAAGAUGAGAAUGGUCUACAUGAUGUCAUGAGCAGUGAUUUCUCAGCUGGGACCAGUGGCCAGUUGACCAGUUGCUAGACAGAUCUGAAGGUUAGAGUAAGGGACAACAGCAAGAAACAUCAGAGGACAACACAAAAAGGGCAUCUGUUGCCCUCCCUACCUGACUAGGCUGGGAUCGGGGUUGUAGGGCGGAGGAGGGGUGCAGUGUGAUCCUGAGACCAUGGACUGGGACGAGUGGCCCCCGUUCAUUUCCCCAUUGGGUUGCAUGGGGUGGCUGUUCAGCAUUCCAGGUCCUAGGCAGCAGCCAUGCCAACACGACAGGUAGAUCAGUCAGACAGAACCAAGACACAACAACCCCUGUCCCUCACUGGGGGCCCUGCUGGGCAAGGAGGGCCCCCACCAGCUGGGACUACGGUUCUGCACUCUGCUGCAGUGGGAGCCUUACCCAUUGGCCCCAGGCUUGAUGCUGAGCCAGAGCUGUGCUGUGCUGGCUGCCCAACCAGCUGGUUGACAGAGGGCAGCUUGUUGAUUCCUCCUCCGUGGACUUUAUUCAUAGGUGAGAGGACAGGGCCGUAGGAGGAAGGUGUCUGCAGCUGAUUUCUGCUCAGGAAAGAGAAGGCAAGCGAUGAGCAUCCAGCAGGAAGAUGUGGAGCCAGCUGGCAACCCCAGACCUCCUGUCUGCCUGCUCAGUAUCUGUGUGCUGAGGUUUCAGGUAGCACUGAGGAAGGCCGGAUUGCACUGAGAGCAGCCGAAGACAAAUUGCACUGGUGCAGAAUUGUCUGGGCUGCAUUUAUGUCAGGCGACAGCUACAUGUGUCUGUGAAAAGUCGCUGCAGAUGGAGAACUCACUGCAGUGCGGGCCCCCUAGGAAGGUUCAUAUCCAGUGCUGUAGUUUAUGCUUGCUGUAAAAAAUAGCAGUUGCAGCAGUGCUGAUCAGUUUGCUGAGCUGCAGUGGGCACUCAGGGACACUGGGAUGGCACUUACUGCCUCUGCAGGAGCUGCUGCUGUUGCUGCCGGUAGGAGUCAACCAGCUGCUGUGGGACCAGCUCCACCAGCUCCAGGCUCUCCUUUAUCUUCAUCAGGAUCUCGAAGUUCUCCCUGCCUCGAACCUGGAGGAUGGAACAAGCCCAGCUCUCACCAUGGCCCUUUUUUUCUACCCGCAGCCACACAAACCCAUCCUGAGAGCACAUCCCCAAGAGUUUCCCUUGCCACUGCUGAGCAGCGUGGCUCACUGACACUUACAGGCACAUAAUACAUCUCCUCCUCCCCGUGUCUCCGUUUCUUAACGCCUGGCCCCAGUGCUGGGAUGGCCUGAGGGCUCUGUUUGAAUGCUGGAAAGGAGAGAAGGGGAAAAAUGUUAGCAGAAGAUGAAAGUCAAAUCAGGCAGCGGGAGCAGCUGUGUCCUCUGGGCACGCAGGAGCAGCGUGCUUUGCAAGACUUAACUGAAAAGAGGGAAAUAGCUACCUCUAGGAGAAUUAGCUUGACAAAUCCCAAAUGUGUGCUGUCACUUAGGAAUUAUGGCUCUAGGAAUUCUGUGUGUGUGUUUUUUAAGAAAAUUUCAUUUUUUCUCUCAUUUCCCUUCUGCUGUGCCCUGCUGUCCUUGGGAGAACAGGACACAUCUGGUAACACCUUGGCUUCCUGAAGUAUUUUAGCUCACAUCAUGCACAAUGCUUGCUGCUUAACUGUAUUAUGUCCUUGAUGAUGUUCCUUCAAAAACAAUAAUAAUGAGUACAUCUGGACAGAAAGGCCCUAUGCUAGUAUCACUGCACUCUGGGGCAAAAAGAGAGGAGAUCCUACUUCUGAGAUUCAGAGGAGAAAGGUCAAAGCAUCAUGCCCUGGUGUGGGUUUAAGCCUCAACUUCUGGAGCACAGUGAUUUUGGUUGCAAUGGGAAAGGUGCUGAGGCAGAAGGGUUUCGAGGAACAAUGCAGGCUAGGAGCUGAAGACUGUGACAAAGCAGUGCUCUGAGGCACCCUCCCUUUCCCGGAGAGCAGACUCACUGCGUUUGUUGGCGUUGCCAUUUUUAGCUGCGUUCUCAUUCAGGGCUUGUUGCUCUCGGUAAUGGUCUUCAUCAGCUUUCCGGUCCCUGCCAGGACAGGCACAGAUCCGUCCCUCAAAUGAUCGCCUUCCUAGGACUUGGCCGCUGGGAGGAGAGAGGAAUUGGUGAAUUUGUUUCUGCCAGGGAUGUUCACCUGGGCUCAGCCCAGCAUGUUAUGGCCUGGCUCAGAUCCCCGGGUGUGGGGAGCUCCUCUGCGAACAGCCUGAGCAGGAGCAGUCUCCUGUGGGAGGAGGAGCUGCUGGGGCUGAGGAAGGCUUCAGCUGUGUGGGAAGAAGCCAGCACUGCAGUGGGUCUGCUGUACCUCCCCUGCCCUCUUCCUAGCCAGCAGGAAGCAGCCUUUACACAAAGGCAAGAAUGGUGCUCCAGCAGCCACUUACUCUCUCGUCUCCAGCGUGAUGAUAAUGAGGAUGGGUCUCCUGUUCAUUCCUCCCACACAGCUGCUGUUGCACAUGAAGUUGUACAGGAUAGUGGUGAACUCGGUCCCCACCUGCCCAGGAGAGGGGAGCAGACAGUGAGCAAAGAGUGAGGGCAUUCCUUUGGGCAGGGCUAUGCCUUGAGUGCCUUUGCAGGUCAAGCAGAAGGAGCACUGAGAAGGGAAAGAGUGGUGACAUGUGGCCCUGCAGUGAUGGGGACAGUCCUAGGUGGGGGAAUGGGACGCUGCAAGGCUGUGGGAUCUCUGAGGGGGAGGCUCAGGCCUUCCGUUCCCCACCACCCAGGAAUGGGGUGCUCAGAGCAGGCACACAAGGGCUCAGAUGUGCCACCCGACUCCAGCCAGGACUCAAAUCUUCCUCCAACAAAGCAGAUGUCACCAGCGGGUUCACUCCUCCACACUGGGACAAGAGCUGGUUCUGCUCCCCACCACCCCCAAUGCAGCUGGGUACCUGUGGGGGCUCGUAGGGCACCAUCACACUCUGCCGUCCUGUCACAGGGUCGUCCACGUACUGGGAGAGGUUGUUGCCUUCCACCCUGAUGAGGUGGCUGGCUGGGGCUGACUGGCCUGUAAGUCAAGUGCUUGUGGUUAGGACUUGGAGCUUCAUCCUGCACAGGGCAGCAGCUCCUGUCCCACCAGCUCUUCCCAGCCACGUUUUGCAGCUGGGGCUGUGCCCUGUAGGGGUGACAACAGCACUCACCAUCGUUAAAGUCACGCCCCAGCUCAUGGUUGGGGCAGCGUUUCACCACUUCUGUCACGUGCUCGGCCUUCUUGUACACAGGCAUGGCCCGGAUGAUGGUGCCCGGUGGCGGUGGGCUGGUCACCUUGAUCUGGAUGGGACAUGUCUUGGCAAUCUGACAGUAGAGCUUCUUCAGCAGUGGGGAGUACUGGAAUAGAAGAGAGACCAGCGUUAGCACAGCUCGCGAGGAGCAAAUGGAAAACGUGGACAUGCAGCUCAGCAUGCAGCGAGGGCAGCAAGGAGCCCUGGGUGCCCGCUGCCCUGUGCCUGAGGGAUGCUGUGUGCACGUGGAGGGCUGAGCACUGUGGCUCUCACACCACGCUCAGGCAGGCGCCUGCUUUCCCGCAGCUCCUCUGAUCCACCCACCU